rnacentral:rRNA from 1 species
UACAGGGGGUGCAAACGUUGCUCGGAAUCAUUGGGCGUAAAGCGCACGUAGGCGGUUCGUUUAUGUCGGAUGUGAAAGCCCUUGGCUUAACCGAGGAAGUGCAUCCGAAACUGGCGAGCUAGAGUACUAAAGAGGAUCGCGGAAUUCCCGGUGUAGAGGUGAAAUUCGUAGAUAUCGGGAGGAACACCGGUGGCGAAGGCGGCGAUCUGGGUAGAUACUGACGCUGAGGUGCGAAAGCGUGGGGAGCAAACAGG